rnacentral:rRNA from 1 species
AGCAGCCGCGGUAAUUCCAGCUCCAAUAGCGUAUAUUAAAGUUGCUGCAGUUAAAAAGCUCGUAGUUGAAUUUCGGGGUCAGUAGGUUGGUCGUGCCACUGGUAUGUACUGGUCUCACUGAUUCCUCCUUCCUGAUGAGCCGUAAUGCCAUUAAUUUGGUGUUGCGAGGAAUCUGGACUGUUACUUUGAAAAAUUAGAGUGUUUAAAGCAGGCUAAUGCUUGAAUACAUUAGCAUGGAAUAAUGGAAUAGGACGUUCGAUCCUAUUUUGUUGGUUUCUAGGAUUGACGUAAUGAUUAAUAGGGAUAGUUGGGGGCAUUAGUAUUCAAUUGUCAGAGGUGAAAUUCUUGGAUUUAUUGAAGACUAACUACUGCGAAAGCAUUUGCCAAGGAUGUUUUCAUUAAUCAAGAACGAAAGUUAGGGGAUCGAAGACGAUCAGAUACCGUCGUAGUCUUAACCAUAAACUAUGCCGACUAGGGAUCGGAUGAUGUUAAUUUUAAUGACUCAUUC